AUGAUAAUAAUAAUCUAAUAAUAAUCUGAACCCUCACACUCUUACUUUAUUCAAUUUCAGUUUUUGGGCCACCACCAAUCAGGUACAGCCUGAAGGUCAUUGGAAAUGACAGUAAUUGUCACAAAGAGUUCAUGAGAAAUAUCAACUUCAAGCUUAAACUGCGCGAGCAGUCCCGUGAGGAUAAGAGUGACGUCAUCUUUGCUUUUGUCCCCAUUGUGUCACGAGCUGGAACUGACAUCGAAGCUGCUCUUCAGGAAAUUCCUGAUUCCAGGCCUGUUGUUCUAGUGGCUCUCCACCACACGUUUGAUCCAGAUUUUGUAGCUCCAGACAGCAGACUGUGUGUAAACAGGGCUAACGUGUUCACUGUGGACUGCCUGUUUCAUGAAGACCAAGGUCUGCUGGGAUGCCAACGCAACUUUGAGGCCCAAGAAUCAAUUGAAGAUUAUUUGAUUGGCAUCAAGAAGAUGUCCAGACUGCUGUGAGAUUGAUCUGUCCUGAGACUGAGAGACGUGUUUUUACUCAGGACUGUUUCAUCUACAGAAAUCUUAUACAGAUGUGUGCAAAUGAUUGGAUGCUUCUGUUCAAAUGACACAUGACCCAUUCCUGAAGUGUGGGUAAAUUUGGUGUAUAGAAAGAUUUGACUUAUCAGUGUUUUAUGGAUAAACAUUCUACAUAUUAUUGUUAAGACAUGAAUGAAAAAAAUGAUGAGUAAUUAAUAUAUAGUACAUUUGGCUCAACAUUUUGUACAAAGUAAUGGUACAGCACCGACCAAUAAUAUACACCCACAGUGAAAAUUAGCAUACAGAAAGAGUAGCAUAAUAUAUGCAGUAAGAGCAGUGGUAGUAGCAAGGUAAUAGCUCCUUCAACCACAGACGCAGCUCCCCUCACGUCUCUGAGAGAUGGUGGAUAUGCGUUUGGUAGCUUGCUAUGUAGUGUCCCCAUAUAUGAUCUAAAAAGCUGUAAAUAAGCUUAAAAAGCUUGUUGGAAUGUUGGGUUAAUAUAUAUAUAUAUAUAUAUAUAUAUAUAUAUAUAGCUUAUUUAUGAUCAGUGUAUACAGCAUUAGCUACUUCAGACUGUGUUCACUUUACAAACAAUACAACCACAAUCCUUUUAGAUGCUAUUUGUGAAUUUAAAUUGUGUAGUGGGUGUAAAUUUAUAUUUAUUUAUGCUUCAUUUAACUUUGGUAAUGCUGGUCAUGCUGAUUAAAUAGCUUGGUCUAGCUUGGUUGUCCAGCUAAGCCAUCAAAUUUAAUUUAUAAUGAUAAAAGUAAAUUAUAACACGUUUGGUCUCUCAUUUUAAUUUAGAACAUAAGCAACACCACUGAGGCAUCAGCUCUUAUAAAAUAAAACACAAUCCUGAUUAUAGGAUCCA
rnacentral:lncRNA from 1 species